GUCCACGCUGUAAACGAUGGGUACUAGGUGUUCGGGGUAUUGACCCCCCUGAGUGCCGCAGUUAACACAUUAAGUACCCCGCCUGGGGACUACGGCCGCAAGGUUAAAACUCAAAGGAAUUGACGGGGGCCCGCACAAGCGGUGGAGCAUGUGGUUCAAUUCGACGCAACGCGAAGAACCUUACCUGGGCUAGACAACGUCGGACCGCCCCAGAAAUGGGGCUUUCCCGCAAGGGACUGGCGGUUCAGGUGCUGCAUGGCUGUCGU
rnacentral:rRNA from 1 species